CUUUCCACAAAUCUUGAAAAAGCAAGACGUUGCACUUCAAGAAAUAGAAACGUAUAUGAGAACAAAAAUUUUGCAUCCUCCAUCUGCAAUUUGAGGUUGUAUGUUCCACUUCCCCAUCUAAUCCCUAAACAAGUACCUUUUUGUUCUAUCCAUAAGAAACUACACCCAACAGAUAACGUCGUUACACAGUAUUCAUAAUGGCCUAAAAAAAGACAUAAUUCACAAUGGCUUUGUAAACAUGACAUAUUUAAUGAUGGCCAAGUAACGGAUAGUCAUAAUCUACCUUUUGGCGCAUACAGCGAUCCUUUCACCAUUUACUUUUAGGGCAUUAUAUUAGCUAUCAAAAUAUCACCCGUCUCUAUUGGCACGAAAAAGCCAUUGUUCAGCAUUCUAUUGCCAAUUAGGAAUAGAUAGACUUUUCAGUUGAGAUAAUGAUAAAUUAUUCCAUCUUUUCAGUUGGAACUUGAAGUGCAAUCAAAUUAUGGUUUUGGGGGAUGGAAUUUAUAGUGUCAACCAUUAAACAUGAUACAAAUUUGUUAAGCAUCAUACUUCUAGAAGAGCUCAAACAAUCAACAUCCUGAUGGAAGAACAUAUAUUCCAAAAUAUGCCAGCAAGAUGAAUCAUUCUUAUUGGCAAUAUCCUCCACUAGAUAUCACACACAAAAAAAACAAUGCUUUUAGCCACAUUUUCUAAAGUAUACAAUCAGACAUCAAGAAGCUCCCCAAUAAGCUUAAUGCCUAAGUUAUGAUGGAUAUAUCUAUCAGACUAAAGCAUAUAUGCCAGAGUAGAUCAGUUAAAUUUUCAAGUUUUCUUCUAAAGUUCAAAACACAUACAUUAUAAUGUGAUUGAGAAAUGACUUUAGUGAGCCAUAAGCAAAGAAAUAGUAGAAAUUUAAGUCGGCUUUCUUACCUUAUACAAGGAGACUGUAAAAUCUAAAACUGUCUCUCUUCCAAAACAGGAGCUUACAGAAG
rnacentral:lncRNA from 1 species